AUCGACCAAGAAACAUUACGUUCGAAUUCGAAAUGAAGUACUUAUUACCGCUGCUCGUUCUGGCGAUCGUCAAGCUAGCGAUGGCGAGUAUGCCACCUCCUCCACCUCCUUCAUGGCCAGUAGGAAAGAAAUGAGUACAAUUAAAUAAGUGAUCGCGAUCGUCGCAUAGUAUAAAAUUCCUUUGACUCAUACGAAGAAUCUAUACAACUUGAUUUUGAUUUGAUCGAAAUAAAUGAUAUAUCUUAUCUCUAAAUUCUUGAAA